rnacentral:rRNA from 1 species
AGUGAACGCUGGCGGUAGGCCUAACACAUGCAAGUCGAACGGCAGCACAGUAAGAGCUUGCUCUUACGGGUGGCGAGUGGCGGACGGGUGAGGAAUACAUCGGAAUCUACUUUUUCGUGGGGGAUAACGUAGGGAAACUUACGCUAAUACCGCAUACGACCUACGGUUGAAAGCAGGGGAUCUUCGCACCUUGCGCGAUUGAAUGAGCCGAUGUCGGAUUAGCUAGUUGGCGGGGUAAAGGCCCACCAAGUCGACGAUCCGUAGCUGGUCUGAGAGGAUGAUCAGCGACACUGGAACUGAGACACGGUCAAGACUCCUACGGGAGGCAGCAGUGGGGAAUAUUGGACAAUGGGCGCAAGCCUGAUACAGCCAUACCGCGUGGGUGAAGAAGGCCUUCGGGUUGUAAAGACCUUUUGUUGGGAAAGAAAAGCAGCAGGUUAAUACGCAGCUGUACUGACGGUACCGAAAGAAUAAGCACCGGCUAACUUCGUG